GACGAACGCUGGCGGCGCGCUUAACACAUGCAAGUCGAACGGAAAGGCCUGCUUUCCCUUGUGGAUUGCGGGUACUCGAGUGGCGAACGGGUGAGUAACACGUGAGUGAUCUGCCCCCAACUUGGGUAUAAGCCUGGGAAACUGGGUCUAAUUCCCGAUAGGACUGCAGGGUGGUUCCUGUGGUGGAAAACGAUGUUCUAGUGGUUGGGGAUGAGCUCGCGGCCUAUCAGCUUGUUGGUGGGGUAAUGGCCUACCAAGGCGGCGACGGGGAGGCGGCCAGGGAGGGUGGACCGCCACAGUGGGACUGAGAUACGGCCCAGACUCCAACGAGAGGCAGCAGUGGGGAGUAUGGCACAAUGGGCGGAGGCCUGAUGCAGCGACGCCGAGUGGGGGAUGACGGCCUUCGGGUUGUGAACUCCUUUCGACCACGAGGAAGCCACCUGGUUGGAAGGGUGGUGACGGUAGUGGUAGAAGAAGCACCGGCCAACUACGUG
rnacentral:rRNA from 1 species